GUGCGAUGAGUCGAGAGCCGCCGUAUUUGGACGGCACUUGAGGUAGGAUAUCAUGCACCACUCACCGUAUUGUGAGCGAUAUCUUCAGUAGUUGUGUGAACCAACGUACUGAUUGCUCUUAUAGAGUACUACCGUUAGCCAUGGUGAAAACCAUGGCUUUUUU
rnacentral:sRNA from 20 species